rnacentral:rRNA from 1 species
CCUACGGGUGGCAGCAGUGGGGAAUAUUGCACAAUGGGGGAAACCCUGAUGCAGCGACGCCGCGUGAGUGAAGAAGUAUUUCGGUAUGUAAAGCUCUAUCAGCAGGGAAGAAGCAAGACGGUACCUGACUAAGAAGCCCCGGCUAACUACGUGCCAGCAGCCGCGGUAAUACGGAGGGGGCAAGCGUUAUCCGGAUUUACUGGGUGUAAAGGGAGCGUAGACGGUAUGGCAAGUCUGAGGUGAAAGCCUAGGGCUUAACCCUGGAACUGCUUUGGAAACUGUUAGACUAGAGUACUGGAGAGGUAGGUGGAAUUCCUAGUGUAGCGGUGAAAUGCGUAGAUAUUAAGAGGAACACCAGUGGCGAAGGCGGCUUACUAGACAGUAACUGACGUUGAGGCUCGAAAGCGUGGGGAGCAAACAGGAUUAGAUACCCCUGUAGUC